CAUAUUGUGACUUGCAAGUUGAGCCAUCUUUAAGGUGGAAUUGUAUAUUUAGCAUUGAAGUUGUAAUCUUCAUUCUUAACUAUCAAAAAUUUCUCUCCUUCCCUCUCUAGUAUUUCUAAUUUGGAUAUCUACUCUCUUGUGCUUGCUAAAGCUGCACCACGAUGUUGUAGACAAUUAAAAGGAUUGGCAGUCUUAGAAUAAUUAUUAUGGUUAAGCCUUUGUUUUUUAUCAUGAAUUGUGUGCCAUUCUAGUGUAAUUUGCCCAAGCCUAUAGGCUGGCUUGUUGAAUUACUAAUUUUGAUCCCUAAUUUCAAAUCAACGAGAACUUAAAUUUGAAAAUCAACAUUUAUCUACAAUAAUCCUUCCAUAAAGACUUUUAUUGGCAGACGGUCUCAAUGUCUCUCUCCCCCCUCUUUCUCACUCUUUUUGUUGGUAAUGUGGAUUGGAUUACCUUUUUCUUGAUUUAUUAUUGGCCUUGUUUGUUUCUAGCCUCAUCUUAGACAAGCUAUGUGCAUCCCAUCUCAUCUUUGAUCACCCUCACCCCCCACCUUCACACAGACACACAUGAAAAUAAAAUAAAAAAAUUAAAUAAGAAGGCGGG
rnacentral:misc_RNA from 1 species